GUCCCGGCCGCUGUCGCGACUCAGCGCCGCGGGCGCGGGAGGCCCAGCGCCAUCCCCGCGCUCCGUGCCGGCGCUGGGAGCCACGGCCAGGACUGCAGGCGGAGGGCCGGGCCUGGCGCAUGCUGCAGGAGCUGCGAGAGGAGAGGAAGGGCGUGUGGUGGGUCAGCGCAGCACCCAAAACGCGAGAAACCCUGAGAAGCCAAGGGGUUGAAGCAGAAUUGAUCCUGGGGAUUUUUGAAUGAACCUGAAGUUAAUCUUACUGAUGUGGUCUUUGAAGUCCUGGAAUGUCCUAACUUUGGUUAAAAAGGUGCAAUAUUUCUUUGAUAACCUAAACACUCAAAUAAAGUAAGUCCUUCAUGUGCAGGUCUAGGCCUGUACACAAAAAUGUAGAUUUUUUUUUUGCAGACCCUCUGAUUCUGCCACAAACUAUCAGAGCAAAACUGAUUUUCAAGUGCUUUGAAAAUGAAGACUUUUAAAUGUAAAAUUUAAGAGCAUUACUUUUAUGCUUUGUUUCUUGCCCCAGAGAGCGUGCUCAGAACUGGCAGCAGCUGCAGCAGAUCUGGAGGUCGGCAGAGGGAGUCACAUCCCCUCCCAUCCCAACACAUGCUCCUCCCGGCAAGCGUCACACAUCGAGCCUUUACAACUUGGGGGGUUUGGGCUUCAAAAGCUUAAUCCCCCACCUGAGGGAUUUCAUAAAAGCUCACACACACAAAGUGGCGUAUGAAAUACUGACACAGCCAGAGGCACUCUCUAAACCUACAGCCCUGUAAUGUAAAAAAUGGGGAUGUGGAGGAGGAAGGAGUUGCUCCCUCACCUUCUCCUGCACCUUGCUCUUGGCUCGAACCUCCUCGUGGAUGGAGUCGUAGACGUUGAGGAGAUCCUGCUCGCUGCUGUCCUCGCGGGAUUCCUGCAGGGCAGCCACCAGCUGCAGCCUCCUGCAUAUUUCCUCUGGCUUUUCCUUUUUUGUUUGUGCUUUUCCUUCAGGUCCUCAUUCUGAACCUGCUCCCCCCCGACCACCUGCUGCUCCAGCACCUGCAGCCUGCAGAAGGGAACACUGAGCUCAAGAACCAACUUCACAAGCAUGGAGGAUGCACAUCCUUCCACGGGUGACAUUUGGGAAGACACAGAAAAAUGAGAAUUAUUAUAAGAUUUUCUGCCCUGAAUAAUCAUAGCAAAUCCUACUUAUUAUUAACAGUUUCUGUCAUAAAAAGAAUCCCAGAAUGGUUUGGAUUGCGAAGCAUCCCACUCCUGCCACGGGCAGGGCCAACUCCUGCUCUCCCAGGCUGCUCCAGCUCUGUCUAAUGUGGCCUUGGACACUUCCAGGGAUCACGGGGCAGCCACAGCUCCUCUGGGCAAAAUACACGUGUAUUACUCCAAGCACCUCAGUCAACAAGGAUGUCCAGAAAUCCAUAUCUAAGCUCACAACAUUAUCUCUGCGAGUCUUGUUUUGUGUACUUUAUAUUUAAAAUCUUAUUUAAAUAAACAUGGAAUAUAUUAUGUUAAA